rnacentral:ncRNA from 1 species
ACGUAGAUACACGGGAGUCCUGGGGUUCGCAGGGCUGAGAGUGGACACGCCGGUCCUUACCGUCAAUACCUGAACCGGAUCAUGCCGGCGCAGGGAGUGAGGUGGAACAGAAU